rnacentral:rRNA from 1 species
UAUCAGGUAGUAGUGGGUGUAGCGUACCUACUAGCUUACGACGGGUACGGGUUGUGAGAGCAAGAGCCCGGAGAUGGAUUCUGAGACACGAAUCCAGGCCCUACGGGGUGCAGCAGGCGCGAAAACUUUACAAUGCUGGAAACAGCGAUAAGGGGACCUCGAGUGCCAGGUUACAAAUCUGGCUGUCGUGAUGCCUAAAAAGCAUUGCAUAGCAAGGGCCGGGCAAGACCGGUGCCAGCCGCCGCGGUAACACCGGCGGCUCGAGUGGUAACCGUUAUUAUUGGGUCUAAAGGGUCUGUAGCCGGCCGGAUAAGUCUCUUGGGAAAUCUGGCAGCUUAACUGUCAGGCUUUCAGGAGAUACUGUCUGGCUCGAGGCCGGGAGAGGUGAGAGGUACUUCAGGGGUAGGGGUGAAAUCUUGUAAUCCUUGAAGGACCACCAGUGGCGAAGGCGUCUCACCAGAACGGACCUGACGGCAAGGGACGAAAGCUAGGGGCACGAACCGGAUUAGAUACCCGGGUAGUCCUAGCCGUAAACGAUACUCGCUAGGUGUCGGCCACGGUGCGACCGUUGUCGGUGCCGUAGGGAAGCCGUGAAGCGAGCCACCUGGGAAGUACGGCCGCAAGGCUGAAACUUAAAGGAAUUGGCGGGGGAGCAC